rnacentral:lncRNA from 1 species
GAGCCCGGGCUGCACGCCAAGAGGCCCGGAGCCGCAGAUUAGUCACCGCUCGCCUCGGCGCUCACGGAUGCGCCCGGGAACCGGGAGGGCAGGCGUCGGCCCCGCUCCGCCGGGCUCCGGGCGCCUCGGCGCCGCGGCGCGGGUGCCCCCGCCCCGAGCUCCGCGCGCGCCCCGCGCGGCUGGAUGGACUCUCGGGGCUCGCGCUGUCGAGAUCCACUUGUCAGUUCAAGGGCAGGACAGAAACUCUGCAAGCGGAGUCUUGCGAACAGGAAAUUUCUCAUUGACAAGGUGCUGCCCCUCCCCCACGCCCGGCUUCAAAACAAAACAAAAACCCAGCGCGAGCCGCCGACGCACCCAGCAGCGCGCGCCGCCGAGCCCCCAGCCCCCACGGCGACCCCCGCGCCGCGGCCCCGGCCCCGGAGUGGGGAGCUCGCCGACCGCGGGCCCCGAGCGCAGGCGGCGGCGCACGGACGGUCAGGCCCCCGCGGACAGGCUCCGCUCGGGCCCCGCCGAGGGCGCGCAGCUGCUCCCCUCCGGGGCGCGGGCAGGGGCGGGCGGGGGCGCCGAGCCCGGGAGACUCCGCGCCUUCUUGGGCUGUGAACCCGGCGGAGCGGCUUGGCGGAGCUGCAGGAGGCCGCCAGGGCUUCUCCAAGUUUUUCUCGAAGGAUUCCACCGGCCAGACAGGGCUCUGGAAGCUCAGCCCUCAAGACUUGCCGCACGUGGGAGGCUGCUGGGAGACCGUUUUGAAAAUGCAAGCACACACAGCAACAAGGACGCAUCCCACAAAUGAAACGUUCCGCAAAAGAAGUCUGCCUCAAACGACUGUGCACAAUAGUGUUCCAUUUACAUCAAGUUUUAAAGGGGGCCAAGCCAAUCGAAGGUGUCAGAAGCCAGUGUAGGGGCUACGUGGAGGAAGGGGGACAAUGGAGAGGGGCAUACCCCUUGGGAGGGGGCGCAAGGGGGACUUCUGGGGGGCUGGGCAUACUCUGCACCUUGAUUUGGAUGCUGGCUACACGGGUGUGCUCAGCUUGUAAAAAUUCAUCAAGCUGUACAUUUAGGAUUUAUACACCUUUCUGUCUGCGUGCUGCACGUCGAUAAAAUGUUAACAAAAUAAAAA